AGCAGCGCCCCACGGCAGCGCCGGGUUGGGGUUUCGCAGCACUUCCACCCCCCGGAGCUGCGUAAAGACAACCCGAGGUCUUUAUUCAUCUCCUAUGUACAAAUCUCAGAGCCGCGGCCCAAAGCAGAGCGCAAACACGGGACAGAGCAGCGGAUACAUUCAGUGCAGCGCCGGGGGCGGCCCCGGCUCUGCUCGGGGGCGACGCGGUGCAACGCCUCAGCCUUUGGGGAAGGGGCGAAGGCCGACAGCGGGCGCCGUUCCUGUAUGUACAGCAGCCGCACGGCGCUGAGCCACGCGGGGCUCCUCUCCCCGCAGAGGGACCCCCUGCUGCCAACCGCGGAGGAGGGGUGGGAAGCGGGGCGGUGAGGCCGGGCCCUGCAGCCCCACGCAGCGAACAACGCGCGGCCCCCUCAGCUUCACCUCCUCCUGCGGUUUUCGUUGCGUUCUUUCGGCACUGAGCCACCCCACGCGGAGGCCCCGAGAGCGUCCCACGCUGCGGCACCGCCCACAGCGGCUGCUGAGCACCACUGCAGGGGAACGUCCCGCCCCGGGGGCUCCCGCAGCGCCCAACCGGAGCUCCGCAGCACCGUCCGUCCCCACCGGCACCGUCCGUCCCGCAGCGCUGAGCCCCCCCCGGCGGCGCCGCUCACCUCCGUGCUCCCGGCGGGCGGAGAAGCGCCGACGCUCAGCGCGGCCACGGGAGGAUGGCGGUGGGGUGAGGGGAGGAAGGGGCGGCCGCAGCCCCGCGGCGGUGGGCUUCGGGGCGGCGCUUCCGGGCGCUGUCGGGCUCCGACCCGUGGCGGCACUAUGUGUAGAAGAUGAUCUCUGGGAUCUGUCCGUCCUCCACCGAAGUGCCGUUGUUGUUCCCGGCCGCGUAGCAGAAGGUGAAGCAGGUCUUGGCGCCGCUGGUGGGCGAUUCGUGGAUCACCUUGCGCAGCCCUUUGGUGCCGUAGUGGGAAUCGGGGCCCUUCAGAGUAGCGCACGCC
rnacentral:lncRNA from 1 species